ensembl:lncRNA
GGUCCAGCGCUGUCUAAAGUUCACUCAGCAAAUAGUCACUAAAUGCCCCCAUGUGGGGAACCAGCCCGGGCUCGGGGCAGCUGAUUUGGGGGGGGGCCUGGAGGGAAACUCUGAGCUGGGAGUCAGCACCGCUCACGUGAGUCAAUUGUCUCACCAUCCUGGGAUGAACAGAUCGAUAGAGCCACUCAGACAGAGAGAGAAGGAGGGUUACAUUCUGAGGGAGCAGAUGUUUAUUAAAUAUCCCUUGGAACUGCUCCAGGUGCUGGAGAUAAAUGAAAAAAUGAGCAAAGAUCUCUGCUCUGGGCAAGCUAUAUUCUAGCAUGGAAAGAUAACAACAAAAAAGAGAGAAAAAAAAUCAAAAAGUAAAAUAUGUCACAUUGUCAGUUGAUGAUAAAGUGCUAUGAAGUGUGAGUUUGACAGUCGAGCAUAGGAAGUACAGAAUACAGGACAGAGACUUGACAUCCGUGAACUUGACUGUAUGAUCAAGGUCAGCUUCACCAGUGGUGUGGCAUGUCAUCAUCUUGGGUUCUCUGAUAUGGAGUGACCAGAAAGGAGCAUUGCCUCGGUGGGAUCUUCCCCCAAACACGUCACCUCCUCACUCCGAUCAUGAGAAAACACCAUAUAGACCACAGCUGAGAGACCUUCAACAAAAUACCUGGCCAGCCCUACUCUUCAAAAAUGUCAAGGUCACACAAAGCAAGGAAAGCCUGAUGCUAUGGACCAAAGAGCCCCACUCCAGAGCUGACCAUCCACCACCUUUCCCCAAGGAAUGAGGUGGGGAUGAGAUGACCCCCACCUGGCAACAGCUACAGACACAAAAGUGUUUUGCCCAACUGAGAGAAUCCAGUGUGAGAGACCACAUGCCAUUCCUGAUGAUCAUUUUCCAUGAAGACAUAAAGAGUACUGACAAAAAAAAAAAAA